rnacentral:rRNA from 1 species
GAAUCUUCCGCAAUGGGCGAAAGCCUGACGGAGCAACGCCGCGUGAGUGAUGAAGGCCUUCGGGUCGUAAAGCUCUGUCUUCAGUGACGAACGAGACGGCAACUGAGGAGGAAGCCACGGCAAACUACGUGCCAGCAGCCGCGGUAAUACGUAGGUGGCGAGCGUUGUCCGGAAUUACUGGGCGUAAAGCGCGCGUAGACGGCUUAGUAAGUCAGAUGUGAAAGACCCGGGCUCAACCUGGGGGCCGCAUCUGAGACUGUUGAGCUUGAGUGCAGGCGAGGCAAGUGGAAUUCCCAGUGUAGCAGUGAAAUGCGUAGAGAUUGGGAGGAACACCAGUGGCGAAGGCGACUUGCUGGACUGUAACUGACGUUGAGGUGCGAAAGCUAGGGGAGCAAACGG